rnacentral:rRNA from 1 species
UACGUAGGGUGCAAGCGUUGUCCGGAAUUAUUGGGCGUAAAGAGCUCGUAGGCGGUUUGUUGCGUCGGCUGUGAAAUCCCGAGGCUCAACCUCGGGUCUGCAGUGGGUACGGGCAGACUAGAGUGCGGUAGGGGAGAUUGGAAUUCCUGGUGUAGCGGUGGAAUGCGCAGAUAUCAGGAGGAACACCAAUGGCGAAGGCAGAUCUCUGGGCCGUAACUGACGCUGAGGAGCGAAAGCGUGGGGAGCGAACAGG